UACAGAGGGGGCAAGCGUUGUUCGGAAUUACUGGGCGUAAAGGGCGCGUAGGCGGCCUGUUAAGACGAACGUGAAAUCCCCGGGCUCAACCCGGGAACUGCGUCCGAUACUGGCAGGCUUGAAUCCGGGAGAGGGAUGCGGAAUUCCAGGUGUAGCGGUGAAAUGCGUAGAUAUCUGGAGGAACACCGGUGGCGAAGGCGGCAUCCUGGACCGGUAUUGACGCUGAUGCGCGAAAGCCAGAGGAGCAAACGGG
rnacentral:rRNA from 1 species